GGCUCGGUCAGGCCGGGCCGCCUGGCGCCCCCUGGCGGUUGGGCGGUGCUGCGGCGGAGCGGCGCUCCCGAGGGGGCGGCACGGCCGGGUGGGCUGCCGGGAGGAGUUCCCGCCGUCCUUUCAGCUGAACUUCUUUCCUAUCCGUAGCUGCUGCUUCCCCCCGGAAUUAUCUCCAUAAAGUAUGCUUUUAUGACUGUAUUAAUCACCUUUUUAUUUCGUUCUUACCCGGUUCAGGAAAGAGCAGAAGUGCAACGUGUCGUGGAUCAGCAAUGUAACACCAUAUGGGAUCCCUUUUGUCCUCAGUAGCUCUGAAGAUCAUAUAGAAGCAGCACAGCAGCCUAUGGGAAAACACUUCUUCCUUGCAGCUAAGAAUGACCCUGCAGGGCCCUUUGCAGGCGGGUUGAGAAGGUGAGGAGCACAGAGCAGUGCUUGGCGGUUGGUUCUGUGCAUCACCAGGAAGCCGAGCAGAAGAUUCCUUGCCAUGCACGUGCCAGGCCACGCUGCUGCAAAGCCUUAGCUGUCCUCAGCAGGGGCAGGACUCACAGCUGGGCGUGGGGAAGGCUUUCUGCUCUGUGACAAUACAGCUCUGCUUCAAGGCGUGCGUCUUCUGUUCUGUGCAGGUUUGGCUGAGUGCAGGGACUGCUGUUUCAUUCCCCAUUUUGAGAAGUAGUCAGGCAAGGAUUACUAUUGAGAAAUAAUUUUUUUUAAACCAGCUUCCAAAAUAGACCUUUGUGUAACGUUCAGAUGUCAGGGGUUGGACUCAAUGGUCUCUAGAGCUCCCUUCCAAUCCAUGCAAUUCCGUGCUGUGAUCAUAC
rnacentral:lncRNA from 1 species